UCAACCCUUUUUCCACUCGAGUAAAUAUAUCCAUUUCAUGAUUGUGUCCCUUUCGAUCGCCAGAGGUUUUGCAACGUUAAAACGAUGCCUUUUGAGUGAGUUCUUCUUUGUCAGGGGCGAUGGCUCGACGGGCUACUUUUCGUGAGAUCCUUUGAAGGCAUUCAAAUCCCCCCUUUUGACUCAUGAUGCCACAAAGAAGAUGGAUUAUUUGCAGGACAUUGAGAGUGAAUGCUCGACUUUGCUUUUCGAGGUCGUUUGCUACCCGAACAACUUCCACAAGAGCUUAGUCAUUACUCAUUAGUUACUCAUGCUUGAACUUCUUGUACAGUACUUAGGAUAAACGAAGCUUCCCCCUUGUAAUGUAUGUAUGGCUAGAUGUCAACCAGACUUUCCAUUCAUAUGUGUCCAUCAAUAUAUGGUACAUAAAAUUAUGAUUAGGACAGAAUGAGAAAAAGCACUUUCUGAGCGUCACUCUCGUUCAGCUUCGACUUGUUUUCUGGCUUGUUGGAAGUUAGUAACGCGGAAUCCCUGAUGAUGUUUCAUUACCAGCUGACUACUGAAUACGAUCCAAAUAAGUGGCUCAUGCAUGGCGAGGAAUUGGCCAUCGAUCUCGCUUUUUUGAACUUUCGCUCACUUUGACGAACAACCGCGGACUCAAGCUGACUGAUCCGGUCCUUGUAAGAUCGUCUUUAAAAGCACCGUCAGACGGUCCAGAUUUCUGAAAUGAGUUCUUCUCAUCAAGGAAUGCAUGCAAACGAGUCAUGAUGAUGAAAAAAAAUGGCUAUGAUGAUGACAAUGAUGAUGGCCGAAGGUAUUGGUGGUUGCACCACAAUUUACUGAAACUACGCCCAUUCCCACUGACAGUGAGAAUCGUGAAAAAUUAAAACUGAUUUGACUCAUUUAAAGUAAUGAGGCCAUAUUACCUUUAGAUCAGAGUGGAGAAACUUCCAGUGUGGACUUGAAAGGAAACUCCCCAAAUGGCAGAUCAAGCCCAACUGGAACCCGCCAAUUAGAGUUUCCAAACUCGUGAGCCCAAUGGCAUGGGCCUGUCUCAAACCGACAUAAAUAACCUCCUUUCCAUUCAAAAGUACCAAGCACUUCUUCGUAUUGGCAUUCUUUUUCCAUGUACUUGUUGUUAUGUACUCCUCACGCAAAACAAUGCACAUACAACGAAGGAGAUCAUCAAUGAGGAAAAGGAGUCGUUCAGGGUGCACUUGUUGAAGAGAAGAAGAGAUAUUUAUCUCCAACUCCACGACCCACUAUAAAUAUUGGUUCUGGAAUCGAUAGAUGGAUGGAUGGACGGACUAGUCUAGGAGCAUGUCAAGCUGACUGAGAAGAAUGUUUGUGAGAGGCAACAUCAAAAUCAUCGUUAACUCAAGCUUCCACUUCAGAACUAUCGAUCGGCCCGUCGUCAACCACGUCUACCACACGUAUAGCAGAGCUGUGCCUUUGGACAGAGUGCAAACUCAGAGCAGAUUCUGGUCAGAUCAAAUUGGUUGCCCAUGCGUGACAAGGAUGUCCGUGAGUGUUGCUUCUUUCAAUUUAAGUCAAGGAUCAAAUCAGACAGGGCAUGUCUUCCGUCCAUCGUUGUUGUGGUCUUGGCAGCCCAUUCAUUUUUCCCAUCUUGAGGGAUCAAAAAAAAAUUCCAGCCCAAAAAAGCGGAAGAAAUGGCUUCUGGUGUGUGUGUCUCGAAUUGGCCGCUAAAUUGGUUUGCCCUUGUAUUGUCAAAAACCUUCGCCCUGAUCGUAACACUGAGAUCCGGACUUCGGACUCUUGCCAGUGCGGACAAGGAGGAAUUCGGCCUAAGGGCUACUAAAUAUGUGUGAAAUACUUGCUCAUGGCUUUUUUCAAUUGGUUACGCAUUGCCUGAAGAUAGAGAGCGAUUUCCAAUCACAUUGUGCUCUUGUUGUUCUUUUUUUGAGUUUUGGAGGAAUACCAGAUUCAUCCCUUAACUAUUUUUGUAUAACGUUGCAAGAAGUGUUUUCAAGGACCAGUUGAAAAUGGCAUACGGAAUUAUAUUUACACAAAUGAUUGUUCCGCUUGAUUAGCUUCAAUAAACAAUCCAGAAACAUUUUGUCCAACUUGACAAACCUCUCAAACUUAAUGACGUUUGAAAUUCUCUUGUGGAAAAUUAUUCUACAAACGGGCUUUUAAAUACAAUAAAUACAUAACCGUAUGGAACGAUUUUAAUACCGAAUUUGCUUGAACAUAACUCUCCAAUUUUCAAGUACAUGUAUAGCAGCAACAAGUGACUGAAUUCCAAGAGCAAAAAAACACACACAAAGUUUAUCUAUUAUAUAAGGGGCAUUUCA